AAAAAAAAAAAAAAAGAAGAGAAAUGAGAAGAAAUGAAAAACAUUUAUUACAAGAGCUAGGAGCUUGAGUCUACUGGGAUGUAUGUAUGGUUUUUGUGGGGGGUAUUGUGUUUUCUAUCCCUUGAAUAUCGGUGGUGGCCUGUUUGGUGUCAUUAAUGGGGAAUUUUGGUUCUGCUUUCCUUUACUGCCCCUGAGCUGGUUUUUAAAAAUCUUUGGGGCCAGAUUACCUCCAAUCCUGGGGAAAACAUAUAAUUUCUGAGAGAUGGAACAAAGAAUAUGGUUAGAUUCGAGUCUGCAUAUUGUGAGGGAGGGGAGAGUGAGAGAGAGAGAGAGUAGCUUUUAUGAGAUGCUGUAGCUCAUGCUAUGUCGACUAUUGCUCUAUUUUUGGUCACAUGAUGAUCUGGCUGUUUAGGUUUCUCUCAUCACGCAUCAUAUCUAUAAUCUGCAUUUAUAUGUAUAUCUUCUUCAAAACCUUAUGAAGAAUUCACUGCAUAAAAAUGGUCCUCGCAGAGUGAAAACCAUUGAAAUGGUGUUUGGCAUUAUAUUUAUUAUAUAUGUUAAAUUUAAGACUUGGAGAUUGUGGAUUUUGGGUUUGUUCAAAUUAUUUGAUUACAUUUAUAUUAGUUUUUGUUACUAGUAAAUAAAGUAGUGGACACAUACCAGGGUCUAGAUGUUUUAAUUUCCUAUAUUUUGAUGUCUGCUAAAUCAAGCUGUUGGAUCUGGGCAUUGGUAGUCUUUUGUUGGUGAAAUCCGCAAUAAAGCAAAAUGUAUAUAAUUUCUUUUUUCUUAAUAUUUUAAAAAUAAUAAUUCGCUUCUUUUUCAAUUUG
rnacentral:misc_RNA from 1 species